rnacentral:rRNA from 1 species
UAGUUUAUUUGAUGGUACCUUGCUACAUGGGAUAACUGUGGUAAUUCUAGAGCUAAUACAUGCAAUCAAGCCCCGACUUCUGGAAGGGGUGUAUUUAUUAGAUAAAAAACCAACGCGGCUCGCCGCUUCCCUUGGUGAUUCAUAAUAACUUCUCGAAUCGCAUGGCCUUGUGCCGGCGAUGCUUCAUUCAAAUAUCUGCCCUAUCAACUUUCGAUGGUAGGAUAGAAGGCCUACCAUGGUUUCAACGGGUAACGGGGAAUAAGGGUUCGAUUCCGGAGAGGGAGCCUGAGAAACGGCUACCACAUCCAAGGAAGGCAGCAGGCGCCGCAAAUUACCCAAUCCCGACACGGGGAGGUAGUGACAAUAAAUAACAAUAUAGGGCUCUUUUGGGUCUUAUAAUUGGAAUGAGUACAAUUUAAAUCCCUCAACGAGGAACAAUUGGAGGGCAAGUCUGGUGCCAGCAGCCGCGGUAAUUCCAGCUCCAAUAGCGUAUAUUAAAGUUGUUGCAGUUAAAAAGCUCGUAGUUGAACUUCAGACCUGGCUGGGCGGUCCGCUUAACGGCGUGUACUGUCUGGCUGGGCCUUACCUCUUGGUGAGCCGGCGUGCCCUUUAUUGGUGUGCGUUGGGGAACCAGGACUUUUACCUUGAGAAAAUUAGAGUGUUCAAAGCAGGCCUGUGCCUGAAUACAUUAGCAUGGAAUAAU